rnacentral:misc_RNA from 1 species
GAAAUGCGAUAAGUAAUGUGAAUUGCAGAAUUCAGUGAAUCAUCGAAUCUUGAACGCACCUUGCGCUCCUUGGUAUUCCUUGGAGCAUGCCUGUUUGAGUAUCAUGAAAUCUUCAAAGUAAAUCUUUUGUUAACUCAAUUGGUUUCUACUUUGGUAUUGGAGGUCUUUGCAGCUUCACACCUGCUCCUCUUUGUUCAUUAGCUGGAUCUCAGUGUUAUGCUUGGUUCCACUCGGCGUGAUAAGUUAUCUAUCGCUGAGGACACUGUAAAAGGUGGCCAAGGUAAAUGCAGAUGAACCGCUUCUAAUAGUCCAUUGACUUGGACAAUACUUUUAUGAUCUGAUCUCAAAUCAGGUAGGACUACCCGCUGAACUUAAGC